AAAUGCUUCGCUGGGGUGCAGCUUGAUACGACCGCAGAGGUCGAACCCUGAACAGUUGGGGCAAGUAUGGACACAACAUUCAAGCUUGAUACAGCUCUGAAUUUGGAUUGUUAUUAAAUAUUUGACACAGCAUAGGUUUCUGACACAGAAAGAAUGUGGUCUAAGAACUUGAAUUUUUUUAAUUUACCUAUUAUGGUCCAAUGUCCAAAAUCAAAAUACAUGGUUAGAUUCAGCAUAUCAAAGAACCCCAUAUAUUCAAUUUUUGUUAAAAUCAAACAAAGUUUAAUUUUGGACCAACUUGGACAAACUUGAAAACUGGGCCCAUAAUCAAAAA